UACGAGGGGGGCAAGCGUUGUUCGGAAUUAUUGGGCGUAAAGGGUGCGUAGGCGGUUUGGUAAGUCUUAUGUGAAAUCUACAGGCUCAACUUGUAGUCUGCAUGAGAAACUGCCGGGCUUGAGUAUGGGAGAGGUGAGUGGAAUUCCUGGUGUAGCGGUGAAAUGCGUAGAUAUCAGGAGGAACACCUGUGGCGAAAGCGGCGCACUGGACCAUAACUGACGCUGAGGCGCGAAAGCUAGGGGAGCAAACAGG
rnacentral:rRNA from 1 species